GACGAACGCUGGCGGCACGCCUAACACAUGCAAGUCGAGCGGAUAUAUGAGCUUGCUCAUAUAUUAGCGGCGGACGGGUGAGUAACACGUGAGGAACCUGCCCUACAGAGGGGGAUAACGUUUGGAAACGAACGCUAAUACCACAUAACGUAUUUUUAUGGCAUCAUAGAAAUACCAAAGGAGAAAUCCGCUGAAGGAUGGCCUCGCGUCUGAUUAGCUAGUUGGAGAGGUAAUGGCUCACCAAGGCGACGAUCAGUAGCCGGACUGAGAGGUUGAACGGCCACAUUGGGACUGAGACACGGCCCAGACUCCUACGGGUGGCAG
rnacentral:rRNA from 1 species